GAUGAACGCUGGCGGCGUGCCUAAUACAUGCAAGUCGAGCGAACAGACGAGGAGCUUGCUCCUCUGACGUUAGCGGCGGACGGGUGAGUAACACGUGGAUAACCUACCUAUAAGACUGGGAUAACUUCGGGAAACCGGAGCUAAUACCGGAUAAUAUAUUGAACCGCAUGGUUCAAUAGUGAAAGACGGUUUUGCUGUCACUUAUAGAUGGAUCCGCGCCCCAUUAGCUAGUUGGUAAGGUAACGGCUUACCAAGGCAACGAUGCGUAGCCGACCUGAGAGGGUGAUCGGCCACACUGGAACUGAGACACGGUCCAGACUCCUACGGGAGGCAGCAGUAGGGAAUCUUCCGCAAUGGGCGAAAGCCUGACGGAGCAACGCCGCGUGAGUGAUGAAGGUCUUCGGAUCGUAAAACUCUGUUAUUAGGGAAGAACAAAUGUGUAAGUAACUAUGCACGUCUUGACGGUACCUAAUCAGAAAGCCACGGCUAACUACGUG
rnacentral:rRNA from 1 species